rnacentral:lncRNA from 1 species
UGAAUGUGGAGGUCUGUUCACUGGAAGAGGCUGAAUGUGGAGGUCUGUUCACUGGAAGAGGCUGAAUGUGGAGGUCUGUUCACUGGAAGAGGCUGAAUGUGGAGGUAUGGUCACUGGAAGAGGCUGAAUGUGGAGGUCUGGUCACUGGAAGAGGCUGAAUGUGGAGGUCUGGUCACUGGAAGAGACUGAAUGUGGAGGUCUGGUCACUGGAAGAGGCUGAAUGUGGAGGUCUGGUCACUGGAAGAGGCUGAAUGUGGAGGUCUGGUCACUGGAAGAGGCUGAAUGUGGUCUGGUCACUGGAAGAGGCUGAAUGUGGAGGUCUGGUCACUGGAAGAGGCUGAAUGUGGAGGUCUGGUCACUGGAAGAGGCUGAAUGUGGAGGUCUGGUCACUGGAAGAGGCUGAAUGUGGUCUGUUCACUGGAAGAGGCUGAAUGUGGAGGUCUGGUCACUGGAAGAGGCUGAAUGUGGAGGUCUGGUCACUGGAAGAGGCUGAAUGUGGAGGUCUGGUCACUGGAAGAGGCUGAAUGUGGAG